rnacentral:rRNA from 1 species
AACGAACGCUGGCGGCAUGCCUAACACAUGCAAGUCGAACGAGACCUUCGGGUCUAGUGGCGCACGGGUGCGUAACGCGUGGGAACCUGCCCUUAGGUUCGGAAUAACUCCCCGAAAGGGGUGCUAAUACCGGAUAAUGUCUUCGGCCCAAAGAUUUAUCGCCUUUGGAUGGGCCCGCGUUGGAUUAGCUAGUUGGUAGGGUAAAAGCCUACCAAGGGGACGAUCCAUAGCUGGUCUGAGAGGAUGAUCAGCCACACUGGGACUGAGACACGGCCCAGACUCCUACGGGAAGCAGCAGUGGGGAAUAUUGGACAAUGGGCGAAAGCCUGAUCCAGCAAUGCCGCGUGAGUGAUGAAGGCCUUAGGGUUGUAAAGCUCUUUUACCCGGGAUGAUAAUGACAGUACCGGGAGAAUAAGCUCCGGCUAACUCCGUG